GAUGAACGCUGGCGGCGUGCCUCAAACAUGCAAGUCGAGCGGGGCUAUGUAAUAUCGCAAGGUAGAACAUAGCCUAGCGGCGAACGGGUGAGUAACACGUGGGUAACCUGCCUGGAAGACAGGGAUAACGAUUCGAAAGGGUCGCUAAUACCUGAUAAUAUCCUUUCAUCGCAUGGUGAUAGGAAGAAAGGGGAAACCCGCUUUCAGAUGGGCCCGCGUCCCAUCAGCUAGUUGGUAAGGUAAAGGCUUACCAAGGCGACGACGGGUAGCCGGUCUGAGAGGAUGUACGGCCACACUGGGACUGAGAUACGGCCCAGACUCCUACGGGAGGCAGCAGUUGGGAAUCUUAGGCAAUGGACGAAAGUCUGACCUAGCGACGCCGCGUGAGGGAAGAAGGCCUUCGGGUUGUAAACUGCUUUUGUACGGAACGAAAAGGCUCUGGUUAAUACCUGGAGUUUAUGACGGUACCGUAAGAAUAAGCACCGGCUAACUACGUGCCAGCAGCCGCGGUAAGGAGUAGUACAC
rnacentral:rRNA from 1 species